rnacentral:rRNA from 1 species
GACGAACGCUGGCGGCGUGCCUAAUACAUGCAAGUCGAGCGAAGUUUUUCUGGUGCUUGCACCGGAAAAACUUAGCGGCGAACGGGUGAGUAACACGUAAAGAACCUGCCUCAUAGACUGGGACAACUAUUGGAAACGAUAGCUAAUACCGGAUAACAGCAUUAACUGCAUGGUUGAUGUUUAAAAGUUGGUUUUGCUAACACUAUGAGAUGGCUUUGCGGUGCAUUAGCUAGUUGGUGGGGUAAAGGCCUACCAAGGCGACGAUGCAUAGCCGACCUGAGAGGGUGAUCGGCCACACUGGGACUGAGACACGGCCCAGACUCCUACGGGAGGCAGCAGUAGGGAAUCUUCCGCAAUGGGCGAAAGCCUGACGGAGCAACGCCGCGCGAGUGAAGAAGGAUUUCGGUUCGUAAAGCUCUGUUGUUAGGGAAGA